rnacentral:rRNA from 1 species
CCUACGGGAGGCAGCAGUGAGGAAUAUUGGACAAUGGGCGCAAGCCUGAUCCAGCCAUGCCGCGUGCAGGAUGACGGUCCUAUGGAUUGUAAACUGCUUUUAUACGAGAAGAAACAUCCCGACGUGUCGGGACUUGACGGUAUCGUAAGAAUAAGGAUCGGCUAACUCCGUGCCAGCAGCCGCGGUAAUACGGAGGAUCCAAGCGUUAUCCGGAAUCAUUGGGUUUAAAGGUCCGUAGGCGGUUUAAUAAGUCAGUGGUGAAAGCCCAUCGCUCAACGGUGGAACGGCCAUUGAUACUGUUAGACUUGAAUUAUUAGGAAGUAACUAGAAUAUGUAGUGUAGCGGUGAAAUGCUUAGAGAUUACAUGGAAUACCAAUUGCGAAAGGCAGGUUACUACUAAUGGAUUGACGCUGAUGGACGAAAGCGUGGGUAGCGAACAGGAUUUAGAUACCCUGGUAGUCCACGACCGUAACGACUAGAUACUAGACUGUUGGUUGUCGAACUACAGUGUCGUAGACGAAGUAG